rnacentral:rRNA from 1 species
AUUGAACGCUGGCGGCAUGCCUAACACAUGCAAGUCGAACGGUAACGACGGGAGCUUGCUCCCGGGCGACGAGUGGCGGACGGGUGAGUAAUACUUAGGAAUCUGCCCAGUAGUGGGGGACAACAUUCGGAAACGGAUGCUAAUACCGCAUACGCCCUAAGGGGGAAAGCCGGGGGAUCUUCGGACCUCGCGCUAUUGGAUGAGCCUAAGUCGGAUUAGCUUGUUGGUGAGGUAAAGGCUCACCAAGGCGACGAUCCGUAGCUGGUCUGAGAGGACGAUCAGCCACACUGGGACUGAGACACGGCCCAGACUCCUACGGGAGGCAGCAGUGGGGAAUAUUGGACAAUGGGCGCAAGCCUGAUCCAGCAAUGCCGCGUGUGUGAAGAAGGCCUGCGGGUUGUAAAGCACUUUCAGUAGAGAAGAAAAGCCUAGGGUUAAUACCCCUGAGUCUUGACGUAACCUACAGAAGAAGCACCGGCUAACUCCGUG